rnacentral:rRNA from 1 species
UACGAAGGGGGCUAGCGUUGCUCGGAAUCACUGGGCGUAAAGCGCACGUAGGCGGCUUGUUAAGUCAGGGGUGAAAUCCUGGAGCUCAACUCCAGAACUGCCUUUGAUACUGGCGAGCUUGAGUCCGGGAGAGGUGAGUGGAACUCCGAGUGUAGAGGUGAAAUUCGUAGAUAUUCGGAAGAACACCAGUGGCGAAGGCGGCUCACUGGCCCGGUACUGACGCUGAGGUGCGAAAGCGUGGGGAGCAAACAGG